rnacentral:rRNA from 1 species
UACGAAGGGGGCUAGCGUUGCUCGGAAUCACUGGGCGUAAAGGGUGCGUAGGCGGGUCUUUAAGUCAGGGGUGAAAUCCUGGAGCUCAACUCCAGAACUGCCUUUGAUACUGAAGAUCUUGAGUUCGGGAGAGGUGAGUGGAACUGCGAGUGUAGAGGUGAAAUUCGUAGAUAUUCGCAAGAACACCAGUGGCGAAGGCGGCUCACUGGACAGACAUUGACGCUGAGGUGCGAAAGCGUGGGGAGCAAACAGG